rnacentral:misc_RNA from 1 species
UAAAAAAUAUUUUAGGCAUUUAAAUUGUCCCAAGUUAUUUGGAAGACUACCAGAAAAUGAAUUGUUGAAAAGAUAAAGAUUCUCUAAACUGUUCUGGAUGCAACUGGAUGAGUUGCCAAAAGGUCCAGAAAUCUCACCGCUGAACUUGUUGGAUUCCAAGUGUAGCUCACUCAAAUUGCAAAGCUUGUUCAACGUUUUGGGAAUUUUUCCUUCCAGAGAAUUAUAAGACAGAUCAAGGAAAGCAAGAGAAUUAAGAUUACCCAUCUCAGUUGAAA